GAAUUGCGAUAAAAAAAAGUAAUGUGAAUUGCAGAAUUCAGUGAAUCAUCGAAUCUUUGAACGCACCUUGCGCUCCUUGGUAUUCCGAGGAGCAUGCCUGUUUGAGUGUCAUUAAAUUCUCAACCUCACCAACUUUGUUGUGUGAAGGCUUGGAUGUGGGGGUUGCAGGUCCGCACUCGUGUGGUCUGCUCCUCUAAAACGUAUUAGUGGGUUAGUCCCCUAAUCUAUUGGUGUGAUAAUUAUCUACGCCGUGGAUUUGGAAGGCUAUCAUAGACCUGCUUCUAACCGUCCUCUGGACAACUUUGACAAUUUUGACCUCAAAUCAGGUAAGACUACCCGCUGAACUUAAGCAUAUCAAUAAGCGGAGGAAAAGAAACUAAC
rnacentral:rRNA from 1 species